UGCAAGUCGAACGAGAAUCUACUGAAAGAGUUUUCGGACGAUGGAAGUAGAGGAAAGUGGCGGACGGGUGAGUAACGCGUGAGGAACCUGCCUUGAAGAGGGGGACAACAGUUGGAAACGACUGCUAAUACCGCAUGAAGCAUAGGGGUCGCAUGAUUCUUAUGCCAAAGAUUUAUCGCUUCAAGAUGGCCUCGCGUCUGAUUAGCUAGUUGGCGGGGUAACGGCCCACCAAGGCGACGAUCAGUAGCCGGACUGAGAGGUUGAACGGCCACAUUGGGACUGAGAUACGGCCCAGACUCCUACGGGAGGCAGCAGUGGGGAAUAUUGGGCAAUGGGCGCAAGCCUGACCCAGCAACGCCGCGUGAAGGAAGAAGGCUUUCGGGUUGUAAACUUCUUUUAAGAGGGAAGAGCAGAAGACGGUACCUCUAGAAUAAGCCACGGCUAACUACGUGCCAGCAGCCGCGGUAAUACGUAGGUGGCAAGCGUUGUCCGGAUUUACUGGGUGUAAAGGGCGUGCAGCCGGGUCUGCAAGUCAGAUGUGAAAUCCAUGGGCUCAACCCAUGAACUGCAUUUGAAACUGUAGAUCUUGAGUGUCGGAGGGGCAAUCGGAAUUCCUAGUGUAGCGGUGAAAUGCGUAGAUAUUAGGAGGAACACCAGUGGCGAAGGCGGAUUGCUGGACGAUAACUGACGGUGAGGCGCGAAAGUGUGGGGAGCAAACAGGAUUAGAUACCCUGGUAGUCCACACUGUAAACGAUGAAUACUAGGUGUGCGGGGACUGACCCCCUGCGUGCCGCAGUAAACACAAUAAGUAUUCCACCUGGGGAGUACGAUCGCAAGGUUGAAACUCAAAGGAAUUGACGGGGGCCCGCACAAGCGGUGGAUUAUGUGGUUUAAUUCGAAGCAACGCGAAGAA
rnacentral:rRNA from 1 species